rnacentral:rRNA from 1 species
AUUAACGCUAGCGGCAGGCAUAAUACAUGCAAGUUGAACGGCAGCACAGGUAGCAAUACUGGGUGGCGAGUGGCGCACGGGUGCGUAACACGUAUGCAACCUACCCUAUACAGGCGAAUAACCUUUAGAAAUGAGGGCUAAUACGCCGUAGUAUUACGGAUGGGCAUCUAUUUGUAAUUAAAGAUUUAUCGGUAUAGGAUGGGCAUGCGUCCCAUUAGUUAGUUGGUAAGGUAACGGCUUACCAAGACGAUGAUGGGUAGGGG